ACGAAAAAUUUUAGGAUAUUCAAAACAUUUAGACAGUGUACUAGCAUAAUAUUAUAAGCAAAACAUUUCUUGCAGAAAAUAAUAAUUAGCAUUCAGUACUUAAAUUUAGGAAUAGUAAUACUGAAUGAUGGGCUGUGUGCAAAAUCCAAACUUUGACUGGGAAAAUUGUCUUAAGAAGCUCAUCGAGCUCAAGCAAAGAAGGCACAUCAUCAUCAGAGGUGAUACCACCUCAAAUAUCUAAGAAGAUACAGGUGUCUACAUCGUGUGCCCAUUCAUCUAAUACAUAACGACAUGCGAGUGAUGUUAAUCAAGAUCCUGGCCCUAGAGUUCAGUUCAGAAGAAAGGAAUAAAACCAGCAUUCAAGGCGUUGAAAGCUCAUCAGUGUAUGGUUGAAGAUGUCCUGAUAUCACCACACCCUCAUCAAGCAGCAACAGCGUGCGACAUCAACAAAGAGAUUAGUUUGAAUUGGUUAUACUUACAGCUUUAUUCUAAUUUCAUUCAGACUGACUUAUUGCUAAAAGAUACCGAUAUUUGAGUGUGAUUAUAUAGAACAUAGAUCAUUGGCCGUAGAUCCUCUCGACUCUGUUAGUGUCAAUUCCUCACCUAAUAACCGUUAUUGCUCGCCUCUUGACGCUGUUAUAGUGUUAACUCUCUACCUAAUAACCGUUAUUGCUCGCCUCUCGACGCUGUUAUAGUGUUAAAUCUCU